ACACAGCGAUGUGAUGCUAAUCUCCAAACCAUGUCUCAGUUCGGAUCGGAGUCUGCAACUCGACUCCGUGAAGCUGGAUUCGCUAGUAAUCGCGCAUCAGCCAUGGCGCGGUGAAUACGUUCCCGGGCCUUGUACACACCGCCCGUCAAGCCAUGGGAGCCGGGGGUACCUGAAGUCCGUAACCGCGAGGAUCGGCCUAGGGUAAAACUGGUGACUGGGGCUAAGUCGUAACAAGGUAAC
rnacentral:rRNA from 1 species